GCUCCAGUGGCCUAGUGGUUAGAACCUCUGCCUCAGAUCCAGGUGGUCGUGGAUUCGAUCCCCGGCUGAGUCA